UAAAAAAACUUUUUAAAAACUACAUUUCAUUAUGAUACCAGAAUGAACAUACAGGUUCAUACACUUUGUGGGUGAAAGACAUGAAAUUUUUGGCUUUAAGGUGUUGGUGCUGGGCCUUAGGCUGCAUUAGUAGCAGAAUGAAAGAAUAAUUUGCACCAAAAUAGGGCUUAUUAUCACCUGAGUUUCAUUAUACUAAUUAUCUGACAGAAUCAUCUGUAAACAAUCUGCAGGUCUGACCACCUCUCUACAGACACAGAUUAUCUGCACAGUCAUUGAGUAGUAAACAACACGAAUCCAUGAAGUUGUUCAAAUCUCACUAAAACCCCAGCAGUUUCUUUCAGCUUCCCUAUGGCUACACCCAGCAAGCUUACUGGAAAACAAAGGUUAUUUUUACUAAGUGUGCUCAGGGAUAAUUUGCAUCUAAUAAACUAAUCUUCAUAUGACAUCUACUGCAUAGUCACAAAGAAGGCACAGAAGACAUUCUAACUACUAGCAACAAAAGAACUGCCUUCUCCCAACAAAAAUCCAUCAGACACAAAUCUUCAAACAUCACUCAAAAGAAGAAAAUAAUGUUGGAUAGUCAAAUAACAUUUUUAUACACUUCAUUCUAAUUUUCCCUCACUGCUCUCUCAAAGUGCUAUUAUGGAGUCAGCAUAUGAGAAGACAGAUGACCAGAGAGGCCUGCAUCCUGUGGUAGCCGAAGAUGAUCCAGCUGCGAGGCUUGGUGGGACUAACUGAACUCGAGGUUCCAAGUGGAAUUCUGAUGUCAAGUUGAAUUCUGAUGUUGGUGUGCUUGGCCUGAGGAGGUCUGGUGAGGCCCCUGAUGGCACCAAUCAGGCAGAGAUGGCAAACUUGGGGUUGGGUGAGCAUAUGGAAUGGCAGUUAUUGGUUUGGAAACUAAAAAAGAGUGCUAUUUUGAUAAUAUGGUCGAAAAAACCUCUGAGGGAAGUAACACUUGAGCAGAGACCUAGAUGGUGGGAAGGCCACAGAAGAGAUGGCUAAAGAGCAUUGUGCGAGAAGAUGAGAUGAAUUUGGUAUUGCUUUUGGAGACUCAGAGGUGCUUAACCAGGAAGUAAGCUACCAGAAGCCAGGAACUCAAUAACUUGAUUUAGCGAACAUCAUUCACAUUUCCAAAGAUCGAUCAGCCUGAAGAAUGGACAAGAUCAAGUUUCUGGACGUGCAAGGCUAAAGCCAGAUUCUGAGCCAAGGGGAAUUUAUCAAGGAAAUGUUACGUUAUACAGCCUCUUAGCAGCCAACUGGCUGGCUUUCCAUGGGAACACCCCAAAUUAUGCUCCUCUGUUUUGACCUUUUGACAUGAAAGCUUUGGGAAUUUUUUAAAGACGGAUAAGACAUGGUCAGAUUUGUGUUUUGGAAAGAUGGCUCUGGUGGCAAUAUGAAUGAUGAUGACGUUGGGAAAUGGGCAGAAGUUGAGGACCUGCUUUUGUUAUAAUCCAGGUAAGGGUUACUGUGGGCCUGAUCUGAAACAAAGGGAAGGGGGAUAGAGGGUGGGUUCGAAGACUUGAGGAGGCAGGAUGAGCAGGACAAUAUGGGCAAUUUGGUUAUGAAAAUAUGAAAGGACUUUGUCCAGUUUGGGCUCUUAACUUUAAAUGGCCAUACUUCAGUUUUAAGGAAACAUACUUCUUAGGACUGUUUUUUAAAAAAGGUGUUUGUUAUGAAUAAA